rnacentral:sRNA from 1 species
CACCAGGUUAAUAAUGUUAGGUGGGCGG